UUCCGGAGCUGAAAAAGCCCACGAUACCGCUAGCGUUCCACACGAUAACGAUAAUUUAGUAAACGUACUAGUUAUCGAACGGGCACCGGGCAAACACUAGUGAAGUAGUGGAACGUAUAUUUUUAGUCCGCGGAAACAAAUUUUCUUUCGUCCGACUCGUCAACGCAGUCGGACGACCAGUCGACAUGUGCGUGUAGCCCACAAAUUGUCCAACCGUCUACGUUAACGACCGGUGACUGUGUACGAAUUCCACACAGAGACGAUACGGCGUUCCGUAAAAGUUGCGCGCGAAUAUGACGCGUUGUCGGCCAAUACUUUUUUUCCGGAUACUAUGUCAGGGGUGGCCAACACGAAUAUUUUUACGAGCCACAUGGAUAAAUACUUUGACAUCAAGAGCCAAAAUGUCCAUAAAUAUUUUUUUAUAAUUUUAUCCAAAAAAUCGUCGUCUACUACAUAAUACAAAACAUCUGCGAAAUAAUUUGUAUUUCACUUCUGAGAUCACAUGAAAAGAUUUAUAAUCAUGGAAGCAGGAAAAAUAUAAAACAUAUAAAAAACUGAGUGGUUCUAGUUUUUGCGACGCGAGCAAGGACAGUGUGGAUUUCGAGGGAAAAAGGAAAUAUAUUUUUACAUACAAAUUUUUUAUUAUGCUGUGUCAUUGUUCCGUCAGUACGUGAAUUCGGCUGUCGUAUUGCGAGGAGUCUAUGAUUUGAUUGUACUAUUUUUGGAAAUAUUUGGAAGUAGAAAAAGGUACGUAAAUAUUAUUGAAAGGCUAUGGAAUCGAAUUUAAAAAGAUAUGUUUAAUUUGUAUAGAGUCCGAAAGGUUCGUACUUAUUUUACUAUCGCACUUCAACACACGUGUAUAAAUUGACCGAUCCGUGAAUUAACCAGUAAAUACACGUAGGAAUUGAAGUAACGAAGAGAAAAAUUUUACUAGAUCCUGAACCAACGUCAAGCAUAAGCCAGUAGUAACGUUUACAAAGCUUUUACGUAAACUUUCUGUUAAAGAAAUAAACCGACAGCCGUAUCACAACCACGAAAUGAUCUGUAUCAAAGUUCGUCUCAGGAAUUCAAAACAAAUUCGACACACGUUGCGAACAAUUUUUCAAACAAAAAUAGGUAUUCUAUAGUUUUUACGCUUAGUUUCUAAAGAUAAAAUAUAUAUAAUAGUCAUGUUAAAUCGACGUCAAUAAAAGAAAAAAAAAAAAAAAA